AAAAAGAGAUAAUUUGAAAUAUUUUAUUCAUUAGAAUGGCUACAAUGUCAAUGAGUAUACGUAGGGAUCAAUAAAAAAAUCUAAUUAAUAUGUCGCAAAAGGUAAAGAGUUUCAUCAACACUAUCUUCAAAAAUCUAAACCUAUUUUAGGAUGACUUCUCUAUAAAGCUACUAUUAGAGUGUUGUACAUAACCAAAAAAAUAAAUAUUAUUCACAUCAAUAUUAAAAUUAUAUAUAUUUAAUUUAUAAUCUAAUAUGUUGAAUUGGAGAGUAUUUAAAAAGUCUUUAGAUCAUGAAUCUCAAAGUAGAGCCAAAGUUAGAACUUUCUUCAUUACAACUAUUAGAUUAAUUAUUCC
rnacentral:lncRNA from 1 species